rnacentral:rRNA from 1 species
UUCGAUUAAGCCAUGCGAGUCGAGAGUCCUCGGGACUCGGCGUACCGCUCAGUAACACGUGGGUAACCUGCCCUAUGCUGGGGAAUAACCUCGGGAAACUGAGAACAAUGCCCCAUAGCCCACUACGCCUGGAACGGUGAGUGGGUCAAAGCUCCGGCGGCAUAGGAUGGGCCUGCGCCGUAUCAGGUUGUAGGGGGUGUAAAGUACCCUCUAGCCAUCAACGCGUACGGGUGUUGGGAGACAUUGCCCGGAGAUGGAUUCUGAGACACGAAUCCAGACCCUACGGGGUGCAGCAGGCGCGAAAACUUGGCAAUGCGAGAAAUCGUGACCAGGGAACUCCAAGUGCGUAGGGUAAGACCUACGCUUUUCUUGACUCUUCAAAGGUCUUGGAAUAAGGGGUGGGUAAGGACGGUGCCAGCCGCCGCGGUAAUACCGGCGCCUCAAGUGGUAGUCGCUUUUAUUGGGCCUAAAACGUCCGUAGCCGGUCUGGUGCAUUCGUGGGUAAAUCAACCCGCUCAACGGGUUGAAUUCUGCGAGCACGGCCAGACUUGGGACCGGGAGAGGUGUGGGGUACUCUCAGGGUAGGGGUAAAAUCCUGUCAUCCUGAGAGGACCACCUGUUGCGAAGGCGCCACACUAGAACGGAUCCGACGGUCAGGGACGAAACCUAGGGGCACGAACCGGAUUAGAUACCCGGGUAGUCCUAGGUGUAAACGCUGUGGACUUGAUGUUGGGGGCGCUCCGAGCGCUCUCAGUGUCGAAGCGAAGGUGAUAAGUCCACUGCCUGGGGAGUACGGUCGCAAGGCUGAAACUUAAAGGAAUUGGCGGGGGAGCACUGCAACCUGAGGAUUGUGCG